rnacentral:rRNA from 1 species
AUUUCAUGGAGAGUUUGAUCCUGGCUCAGGACGAACGCUGGCGGCGUGCCUAAUACAUGCAAGUCGAGCGGACCGACGGGAGCUUGCUCCCUUAGGUCAGCGGCGGACGGGUGAGUAACACGUGGGUAACCUGCCUGUAAGACUGGGAUAACUCCGG